CACACAUUUCAAUAUCAAUCAGUAUUUUAUAAUACGUUACACACAAAUAAUAGAACACAAACAGUACUUAACAUGCUGGAACAAAAUUCGAGAUUUGCAAUUCACCAAAAAUCUUGACUUCUGGACGACAUCUCAAAUUUGUCAAAACGAAUUUAGCAUGGCAAAGAUGCAUACCUUACAAUCGAUGCUCAUAGAGGAUCUCUUACAGCUUUAGCCGUUCAUCGGCAUGCACCCCUCUUAGCAAGUGGUUCAGCCAAGCAAUUUAUCAAAGUGUUCAAUUUGGAGGGCAAGCAAUUAGGUACCAUUCGGUAUUACCCCACUUUCAUGGCCCAAAAGAUAGGAUCGGUUAGCUGUCUUACGUUCCAUCCCUAUCAAGUACUGCUCGCCGCGGGAGCUGCCGAUGCCCGUGUUUCAAUCUAUGCAGAUGAGAUCUCUCCACCCAGAUAGAUAAGCAGUGAAAAUAAGAUUUGCAUUUGAAGUCCUUGUUGAAGAUGUAUAAUAUAUUUAUUCUGCCUCUUACUCAUCAGUCAACAGAAAGAAGUAUCAACAAAUUCC
rnacentral:lncRNA from 1 species